UCAACAAUGGUAGGUAAUUUUACCUUUAUCCAGUUUAUUCUUUGCUGCUUUAAAUAAAAUAUUUAUUGUGAAAGUGUUCAAAGCCAAAACACAAUCAUAUAUCAUGUGCAAGUUGGAUUUAUGUUUGGUCUUGUUUACUUUCGACUUUUGUUUUCUAUAUUUAAUCAGUAGUUCCCUUAGCUUUAUGCCUAAGAAAAGAACAAGACAAAAGUCAAGGAACAAGACAAAAAACUCUCUUGUUUGCUGGCUUGGAGUUCAUGGUAAGCUUAGAUAUUUUUAUCGCUAUUAAUCUUCUUUGAAAAUCUUGAUAGUCGUUUAAUUAUUAACUCAUUAGUGUCCAAUUUAGUAUUCGUCUCUUUUGAUACUCUUUCUAUGGUUUUCUUUCCUGAACUCAUAGUCUUUAAUAGUCAUUCUCUUCAAUACUCAUAAAAUGUCUUUUAGCCACAAAAUAAAAUCAUACGAUGAAACUAGACACGGUGCAUGUUGAUAUUCAAAUCAAAAUCUCAUGAGAAACAGAAUUUAAAAGCAAUAUUUACUGCAUUUGACAAUAAACUUAAUAGUUUUUAUUUUUCAUUUCAGGCUUUGCACCACUGAGAACACAUAAGAUAAAUUACAGUACCGUCUGUACCAGACUUCAAAGUCUUUAAUUUUUUUUAAUUUAGCCUGUUAAGAUGUCUUGCAUUUCAGUUUCUGUGAAUUGGCGGUAAAAAUAAUGUAAAUUGAAGUCCAAGGAGGGAAAUGUGGCAGUUUUUGGAUUAUAUUUACAGCAAAGCUUGGAAGAUGAAAGUUGGCUAUUGGUUUGGCUCUGGACCUGUUGCAAAUGUCAAUCUACGGUGAGCGCGCUUCAUUUUAUAGCAUUUCGUGGGCUUGCGUUUGGGCUGAAACCGUGCAUGCCAAACUCGUGCAUUUGUUAAAAAAAAUUAGUUCAGAUUUAGGCUCAAUUUCUUCAUUUUGUUCAUAUUAGUUCUGAAAGUUUCGUAAAGACUUCUGAGUACCAAAGGGCCAAAGCAGUAUUUUUUAAAUACAAAGUUAACACAGGGUGACAAAAUAUCACGUAAAACAAGCCAGGACACUUUAUCGGACGCAAAGAUUUGACCCUGGCUAUCAUCUUUGUUAAUUUGAGCAAAAACAGGCACCUAAUUUUCUAAGGAAUCGUUUCCAUUCUAUCUUUACAUUUAUUCAAAGAAUCAUUUUCAAACAGUUCUUAAGAUUGAGAAUGAUCAAUACUAAGGUUUGUUAAUUUUGGGUUAUCUUCGGGGUCUAUUUCUUAAAAUCUGUUUCUUAUAAAAUGAAUACGUGUAGUUCAAAAGAAUGUUUGUGUCGCACAGCCAACAAAGCUCUCAAACGAAACUCGCAUAAUUUUCUGCCUAUUUGCUCAAUAUCAGCAUGACACUAGUAAGAUUUCGAGUAAAAAUUGAAAGCAUUUUCUUGCUGUUUGUCCUUCAUGACUAAUUAUCUCAUGAAAUACAAAGGAAACAAAUUUACUUUUAGGCCCUUUCUUCGUGAUGAAAAAUAAUUAAUACUUGCAUAAAAAAGGUUAUACCUGGUCCCAAACGGGACCUUUAUAAUAGACAAUUUCAAACUGACUAAGGUGACAUUUCUUAGCUAUGAAAAUUCAUGUAUGGUUUGAAGAGAUUUUUUAUUUUAAUUGGUAUUUGACAAAACGAUAAAUUUUAGCCAAAGUCAUACCUCUAAGCUAUCCAAAUCAAAAUUUCAAAAGACUUUUUGCAUGGAAACUUGAAUCUCGAUAAUUUCAACCUAGAAUUGUUAAAAGUCUUUGUCAUCACUUCUUCACAUUAUUUAGACCGAAGCAUUAAUUAUCAUCCAAUUUUUGGACCUAAAUAGACACGCCAAACAAGAAACUACACAAAAGGAUAUGAUGAAUUAAUGAAAUGCGUCGCAUCAAACUAAGUUAAGACUUGAAACUGUUUUUCCGAGAAUUAAGCUGUUUUCUUUCUUAAUAUAUUUCACGACUAUGACGCCGGAAGAAAGGCUUUUUGGGAAAUUUUGAAUAAUAAAAGCAUGUAAAUACCGACAAUUAAGUUUAGAUACAUCAAGAUUCAUGAAGUAAUAGAAGAUUUUUUUCAUUAAUGUUAGGUUUGGAGUUCCCAGAAAGGGAAUUUCAAGCAUUUUAUGGCACGAUUUACUUCAAAGUAAUAUUUUAAAAUAAACAAGUAAAGUCUUGUGUAUAUUCCCACAAACUUAGGCAUGUUUUCUGGAUAUAGAAGCUUUCAUUAAGCAUAGAAUGAACUUUCAAGGAAGAGAUUUUCCGGGACAAGAUUUUGCAGCCAUUUGCAUCUUUGCUUUCACUGGUUUGUGGUUUUGAGGUUUCGCAGUUGCGAGAGUAUGUGGUUUUGAGAUGGUUGGUUGGUUGUUUAGGCUCUUGGUUGUUGGGAGGAUGGUAGUUUUUAUGAUAUGGGGAACUACUAGUGAAAGCAAAGGUCAAUAUGCUGCAAGAUACCUUUUCUUGUAAAACUUUUUGAUACCGUUUGUUUGUUUACAUUUGAGGUAUUUUGCUAAUAUUUGAUAGUCAAAAACAGCUUUUUUUAAAUUAGAGAUACCGAAAAAUGUUUUACAGAUAAAGUGUUUUGGAGAUUAAUUGAAAUCAUUCUUAGUAAGAAGCUCUUCUCACUUUAUUUUGAGAAAAAAAGCUAAUCACCUGCUAUGAAACUUGGUGUGAAGGAAGCAUACUUAAGAUACCUAAAGCUGAAGAUUGAUAUAUAAGACGCAAUUUGACACUUUUUUGCUAAAAUAUUUUUGUGUUUGAAUGACUUUGAAAUUUUACUGCCAUGUAAAACAACACAACAGGCCAGCAUCGUUAAGCAUCUAAAAAAUUCCCAAGAGAAUAACACGUGCAGGCGAGGUCCCAAUAGGAAUGUCUCAAAAUGGAGAUCUCAAAAGGGAUGUUAUUAGUCAAUUGACAAUGACCAAAUGCCAUAGAACUUGUGGAUGAACGAACUGAUAGGUGUCAUAUUUAUUGUUUCUUAAACUGAUUAGAAUUGAAUUUGAAAGAACAUCAAUGUCAUAGUUUGUAAGGGGCGUUUUUACUGGGCUUGAGGGCAAAAGUUAUCUGGCAUGGAUCUCAAGGGUCUCUUGAGCAAUGCCAAAUAAAAUCGGCACGCAAUGCCACUUUUCUUUUGUUAAUUUAACCUAAGGGCAAAAUCAAGUAACGACAAGCUUGGUUGGUUUCGUCGCUAGAAGGGUUUACAAACAAAACAGUCAAAUGAUUUGAAGUAAUAUUUUUUAAACGAGGAAUGGAUUAUUGAUACAAACUUUGAGUCAUUUGUUUAUCAUUAGCGGAUCAGUUGUUUCAAUAUUCCUGGCUUUUGUAUCACUCUUUCAGGUGACUCGAGCGGAAAAACUUAUUGCAAGUUAAAGCUGUCUAGAAUACAAGACAAGAAGAUGAAGCCAAUAAAAUGAAGAUUUACGAACAAUUAGUAGAAUUUGGACUUGAAAUUGCAACAUAUUAUUAUGGUAGAUGGCAUUAAUUUUGGACCGGUAUUUCCUCGCUAAGUUGGAUAGUAUCGAAGCCCCGCUUGAGAUCGCCACGCCAAUCUUAUUGCACAAUCUUGAGGAUAGUUUGUCGAUAAAGCCCUGAUAAUUUUUAACAGUUUACUCCAACCAACAGUGUUUAUCAUCACCAGGUAACGAUCGUCCAUUUUAAUCAUAAGGAUACUACAAUUUGCCUUUGCUAGAAAUCUAAGAUAGAAAUUGCCUUUGCAUUCCCUUGCUAUGUUCCCUUAUUGCUUUAAGGAUUCCCUGAUGAUUCCCCUGAUAAAUUGUUAGAUACCAGGAGAAACAAAUAAGGACCUUAAUAGUUUAACAUCUUUUAUCGCUGAUAACCUUCCUUUCCCUUGUACAGAACUAGGAUUUUACGAGGAAGUACUACUUUUAUCUUACGUUUAAGUUAGAGUUUAAGUGUUUAUUCUAAGGAUGGGUCUGAGCAAGGCGCCUGUUCACGUCUGUUUUUAGGAUAAACCAUUUCGUUAUUACGUAUUUAUCUUGUUAUUGUAGUUUAAUAUUUUGUAAUUAGUUUGUAGUAUGCUUAGGAGACUGUUUUCCGUGUUGAGUUAGGGGUUAUGGCACGGUGUUUUAAUCGGAGAGUUAUCAAGAAGGCCUUCCCCUUCUUGUUAACCCUUUGCUUAAAACGCCAUGUUUACAUAACCCCUAACUCAACAUUGAAAGGGGCCUCUUAGCACGGUGUUUUAAUCAGAGGGUUAACAAGGGGAACUUCUUUUUCCUCUUGUUAACCCUUUGCUUAAAACACCAUGCUAAGACAAACCCCGACUGAAAACAGUCUCCUCGGCAAAUAGAGUAGACAUUAAAUUGUACGUAGAGUAAGAUCGCUUGAAUGAAGUGGAGAAAAUCGAACUGAAUUGUUUUCAACCCCCCGUCUUUCUACUGCUGCAAACGAGGCUACUGAACCCCCGUCUUUCUGUAAAACGGAAACGAGGCCAGGCGGGCAAAAUAGAGGCAUCUGAUUGGCUACUAAACAAAGGAAAAA